rnacentral:lncRNA from 1 species
ACUGAAUCCUAGCAACCACAUUCUGAAAAGCUGUCUUACCUUCAUUUUAUAGGGAAACUAAAGCUCAGAGAAGGAACUUUCCUAAAGUCCACAGGAGUAUCACAUCUACACUCAGGUCCCCUGACUUCCAAAUCUGGAUUAUUACAAAGAAAUCCCAGGAUGGAAUUGUGAAGGGAUGUGUCUGCAGCCGGUGAGGAAGCCCAGGCACACAGAAUCCUGCAGACCUCCCCAGCCCCUCCGCAUCCACAGAGAGCACUCAGCCUAUCUUGAUCAACAGUCGGCAGCAACACAUUGCAGAUAUAAUCUCAAGACCUUGUGGCAUGUACUUGUCACUACAUGCAUAACUUACUAUGGACAGAGGAUCACGGAGAUUUUGAACAUAAUUUCCCACACGACAGGAGAUUAAAUAGACCACAUUGGAAGAAGGCAAGAAGAAGCUAGGUCUCUGGAGUACCAAAAAGUAAACUUCAGCCAGUUCUGGAAGCAUAUAAACAGCAGGAAAUAUACUUGCCGAUGGGCUACUUUCUCAAGAGUUCCUGCUUUCUAGAACUCUGGGGAAAGAAUGAGUUAGUGGGUAAGAAUGUAAGAGGAAAAAGGACCUUCCCUGGAAAGAUUUGGAGUGGAAGAAAAUCCGUGUCUCCUCAUUUAUGUAUGACUUUCUCCUCUCCCUUUGUGAUGCCCCUUUCUUGAAGAAUCCGCUCCCCCAGGUUCACUCCAUCAGAACCUACUCCUGAGACUGCAUUCCUGGCACCUAUAGUGAGGUGUUAAGUCAAUGCCCUACCUUUCAGUAUGUAUGUAAAUAUCAAGCUUUCUUUCUAUGUUUUUUUUUUUUUUUCCAGUGAAGAAUUACUGGCUAUCAACAAAUAAAUAAGAGAAGGCAUUAGGGUCCAAAAGCACUUUUUAGGUCUCCCAGAAACCAUUCUACCCAGCAUCCUACAGUACCAUCUUGGACCUGCUGUGCCUAGUUUCCUUACUUGUGAAAACAAAAGAACAGUAGAACCUAACUCACGUGACUCUUGCAAAGAUGAUAGGAGUUCACCCUUAGAAAGCCUGACACGUUGUAAGUGCUUGGUAUGUAUUUAUUAUUAUUACCAUUAUUAGUAUAUGACAUAAAAGCCUUUCUGAAACAAAAAAAUCACAUGAAAUCAUCAACAGUCAUCAUCAUGAAUGAAAGCAUGUAUGGAGCUGGUUUACGAUGCGGUGUGGCAUCGUGGUUAAGAACACAGGUUUUCAAAGUCGACCACCUGUGCCCAAAACCUGGUGUUGCCACAUGGCCUUAUAUGACAUGGGCCUCAGAUUUCUAAGCUGAAAAGGGGGAAACAAUGUCUAUUACACAGAAUUGCUGUGAAGAUUAAACCACCUAAGAACUGUAAGACACUGAACAGUGCCUGAUAUAAAAUAAACACCCAAUAAAUGAGAGCGGGGGGGAAAAAGAGUGCUCUUCAACCGAGAUUUAUCUUCAGAAAUUGUUUUGUUCAGAAACUGACUGACUGUUUGGAAAUAUUACUGUUGGAGCUGGAAGGCUACAAAUAACCCCUGAGAUGUGAGCCAGUGAAGAAAUAGGUAUCAGAGUCAUCCGGUCAUAGCUGUGGGAGUCGAAUGGACUUCCCAACACCACAACCUUGAAUGAGGCACACUCGCCCUACAGUCCUUGACCAAGCAGUACUGCAGGCCACCUCAAAGAUGGGAAUGAAAACCAAAACUGGCUGAGUUUCACCAGCUCCACUACUUCUUCCAAACACAGUCUUCAGAUAAGUCUCUCCUCUUCCCAAGGGGAAGGAAGACUGGGUGAAUUUGUGGUAUAAGGCUGGAAACUUUUCUUCCUUAUUUUUUCUUCAUGAAGUGAGGAGUAGAAAUGCCGUGCCCUCUAUGGGCACUUGCAGAUUAUAAAAGCUUCCCCCAACAUUUGGCCUUAACUAAUACAUUCAUAUGUUUCUAGAGCCACAUGGUCUAUAUGGAGAAACUAAGUGAGGCUGCCCUCCAGAGUACACUGAUAAACAUCACUGCUAAGUAUAAAUAUUUUAUUUUUUUGUGACAGUUUGUCUUCAAGACGACCAGCUACAAUUCCUCCUCUCUCCCAUAUAUGCCAUUCCUCCAUCUAGAGUUGGAGCUUUUCCUCCACCCUACUGAAUCUGGGCUAGCGUGUGACUGCUUUGAUGGGUAGGAUACAUCAGAAGCAGUGCUGCUUGGACUCCCAGGCUAGGGUGUAAGAUACCUUGCAACUUCUGCCUGGUUCUCUGGGAAUGCUUGUUCUGGAAGAAGCCAGCUUUCAUGAAAGUAAGAAUCAAAUUGCCCUGAAACCUCUGGGCUAUGAGGAAAUCCAAGGUAGCCAUGUGGAGAGGGAGAUGCCCAGCCAGCCCCUAGAUGUUCCAAUCAUCCCACCUGACACGUGGGAAUGAAGAAUCCAUCUAUUCAGCCAGUUCUUUUUUUUUUAUUUUUAUUUUUUUUUAUUUUUUAUUCAGCCAGUUCUUCAGAUGAUCCAUCCCCAGCUAUAAACAUUAGGGAAAUUUCAAGUGAAAACCACCCAGCCAAGCCCAUUCAACUCACAGAACUAUGGGAGAUCAUGAGUAGUAUUUGGUGAUUUCAAGAAACUAAGUUUUAGGGUGUUCGUCAUACAGCAAUUGAUCACCAAAUACUCCCUUUAACAGACUAUACCAAAUUUCUCACUGAACUUGUUUUUUGUUUGUUUAUUUAUUUUAUUUAUUUAUUUAUUUUUUUGGAUCUCACUCAAAUGGCACUUGAAC